GGUGCUGUGGCUUAGUUGGUCAAAGUGCCUGUCUAGUAAACAGGAGAUCCUGGGUUCAACUCCCAGCAGUGCAUCA